CCCAAGAGAUCGGGAUAACACCUGGAAACAGAUGCUAAUACCGGAUAAUAACAGAUGAUGCCUAUCAACUGUUUAAAAGAUGGUUCUGCUAUCACUCUUGGAUGGACCUGCGGUGCAUUAGCUAGUUGGUAGGGUAACGGCCUACCAAGGCGAUGAUGCAUAGCCUAGUUGAGAGACUGAUCGGCCACAUUGUGACUGAGACACGGCCCAAACUCCUACGGGAGGCAGCAGCU
rnacentral:rRNA from 1 species